rnacentral:rRNA from 1 species
UAGGGAAUAUUGCAAAAUGGGCGAAAGCCCGAUGCAGCAACGCCGCGUGGGCGAUGAAGGCCUUCGGGUCGUAAAGCCCUUUUUGAGGGGAUGAGGAAGGACAGUACCCUCAGAAUAAGCCUCGGCUAACUACGUGCCAGCAGCCGCGGUAAAACGUAGGAGGCGAGCGUUAUCCGGAUUUACUGGGCGUAAAGCGCGUGCAGGCGGAUUGGAGAGUUGGAUGUGAAAGCUCCCGGCUUAACUGGGAGAGGUCGUUCAAUACUUCCAGUCUUGAGUGCAGUAGAGGGAAGUGGAAUUCCGGGUGUAGUGGUCAAAUGCGUAGAUAUCCGGAGGAACACCAGUGGCGAAAGCGGCUUCCUGGACUGUAACUGACGCUCAGACGCGAAAGCUAGGGUAGCAAACG